UGGGUGGCAUGGGUAGAUUGAGUCUUUCCAGGGGGAAGGGGGUGGCAGGAGUGGAACUGGCUGGAAAGAGCUGCUGCUGAUUUUCAGCUUUGUGUUGAAGUGACUUUUGCACACUGGAUUGUUCUUUGCGGCGUGUUGGUGCGGCACUCUCAGAAUUAGUGGUGUUGUAAAAUGUAUACUCAGUGGAUCAAACAAACACUGCCAGCUGUUUCUUUGGCUUUUGACCAUCCUGUGGUAGGUGUUCUGAUACCACUAGUAGGACAGGACAGCCUGUACGAAGGACCUCCUAUGUGACUGGAAGACCGCAAAUUCGAAGUGAUGAUGGGCAGCCUGAGAAGCGAUCCUGGAGGGCCCAUUAGACCGAGGACACGACAAACGGGCCGUUUAUAUCGAGAAUGCCAAGAAACGAGAAGGGAUGAAUGAUGAUCAGCAUUAAAAGGACUGCCUGUAGCACCGGUUGAUCGCCUACAAGACCAGAAGAUGGUCCAUAUCCACUGUAACGAGAAACCAGAAGUGUAGGAUGAUCAGCCCUAGAAGUUUACUGUCAUUCAUCGGACUUUUCGCAAGAAGAUGCUGGUGUUAUCAGUAAGUCUACCACAGCAGGUAGGUCAAAUAAACAGCUGGUAGAGUUUGUUUGAUCCAUUUUUGAGUAUACAUUUUGCAGCCUCGUUGAAACAGUAAUGGCAGUGCAGCACCAACAAGCUGCAAAGAACAAGCUAGAAUGCAAAAUUCACUUCCAACACUCAAGCACAAAAUCAUUAGGCAGCUGUUCCCACCCAAUUCUACUUCUGUCACCCCUUCCCCCUUUAAAGGACCCCUACCUACACUGCUGUGGCUUUGUAAAGAUAGGUUGAUAGGGAGCUAGGUGGAUAGGUUGGGUUCAGAGUAGGAUUUUGUAGAUAGUAUUGCCAUGGCCAU